GCAGGUGUUGGGAUUAAGAUACACUUUCAUUUUCAAAGCACUUUGCAGUCAUUAACUAAGUGCUCACCCCUAAUUCUCUUCUAGGUUGAGCUUGGCCAUGGUCUCCCCAUGCUGUCUCCCUUGCCUCUUCUCUGAGUCUCAAGGAACAUGCUGUCACUGGCAGAUAUAAGAACAUCUUGUGCUUUAUAUAUAUUUUUAAACCUUACUGGGUUGCUUGUCUAACUCACCCCUCCAGUAGCUUAGUGAGAUUAAUGCCUCUUUCUAAACUGUGAUAACCAAGAGAUACUUUCCAGCAAAUGCGAAUGGGGCUUUAAAGUGCUGCGAGGCAGGAUGACAAGAUCUUGGGUGAGUUUCAGCUGGUGGGCCAGGAGAGAGUGAAAACAAAGCCACUGGAUAGUGAGAGGAUAGAGGGUGCUCCACAGACGCGAACUGCAUCUUUAUGUUUACAUAGAAGGGAGAGUGAAGGAGCAAAUGUGGGCAACAGCUGUCAGUGACACAUCAUUACCCCAACAGCCAGAAACAAGAUAAGCGCCUUGCAGGGGCCCUUAACUGACUGCUGGGUUCGAUGGUUCAAAGAGAAAAAGCACGUGAUAACUUUGAAGGAGGCUGCCUGGCUGAGCUGAUCGGAUCACCUAGAGACUGGAAAUGCUUUCUGGUCUGAAGUCACCUGCCCUAUCUGGACAUUCCAUAGACUACCACUUUUACCCACGACUUCGAUGUGGCAUGCUCAUUGGACCAGAUAAGCAAGCAGUGGCAAGUGGAUUGGAGGUCUUGGUAACCAGUUCAACCAAAAUCCUGGGACAGCUGUUCCCUGAUGCGGCACACUUCCUAGAAGAAGCAAGUGAAUUUAAAGCAGAGUGAACUGUAGAGGAGUUCACGACCAAAUCUCUGAUGCUUUCCCCAGAUCUUUCUUCAGGGCCAACACAUCCAUUGCUCAGCUGUGAUAGACAGCAGUCAGGGGUGGCUCACCUCUCUCACUGGGAAUUGCUCUCAGCAGUAGGGAACUCAUUCAGGGUUAAGGCAUCUCCUUGAGGAGGCCCAUGUUCAAUUACUGGUUGACACAGGAAUAUGAAGGCCUGGCCCUCGUCUCAGCUUGGAAUAAAUCUGAAGGCCCAUCACAGCUUCAGAGAUGCUUGGAGAAGGCUGAGGUCUCCCCUGUAACCUUAUGAGAACCUUGAGUUGUUGAACUCAUUAAUUCUUUGGGACCAUCUUCCUGAUGUUCAAGUUUGUGAAACAGGCUUUCCCUUUAAGAUUUGUUUUCCUCAAAAUACAAGACUAUUGAUGCUUCAGUUUUGAAGUGGAUUCUGCACUCAAGAAAUGUACCAUUGAAGAAUGGGACUGGUAGGAAGGGAAAAAAACUAAAAGGAAACGCAUUUUCGAGUUGCACAUCAUGAUCAGGCACAGAGUCCAGAUACACUUGGAGUAGCAAGCAUCCAUCCUUGUGGAGACGCACAUGAACCAGGACUCUCUGCACCCACCCCUCUCAAGUUUUAUUUUCCGACGGCUGUAAUGUUCCAGGACACCUGCCAUCAUGGAGGGUUAUCCAGCACCUGGAGGAUACCUGCUACCUAUUUUGUGAACAAUUUGGCAUGAGGAGAGAAAGGAACCUGAAGUUUUUAGCAAGGAAGCUUCCUGUCUCCAAGGGGAUUUUUUCCCACAGAAAUAUAUUGCUGAUUGGAUGUUGCCUCUCUAAUUUUGGAGACCAUAUGUUCUAGGUAUUCCGGGAAAAAUCUGCAUUUCAAAUCCUGGAUCCAUUGUUCCCAAAAGCCAUGUAAGAAUCCCAACAGAGAUAGGUCCCUCUCAUGGAUAUGUCCUAUGUCCCAGGGAUACCGCUCAAAGCAUUUUGUGGCUGAAGACAUUUAAUCUUUCAUAGAAACUCCUGAAGAAGAUGUUAUUGCUAUUAUAAUCAUAUGUAUUUGGAAAUGAAGACUUUGAAAGGUUCUAACUUAUUCAACAUUUCUCAACCAGCAUGUGGCAAAGUUCUGAAAGUCUGUUAUUCUAACCAACAUCCUACCUUGAGGAGCAAUGAUGUUCACCUGUCUGGUUGCCACAACUCACGUCCUUCUGUGGGCAGCAGAGUUCCAAGACGUUCCCCAAGAUCUCAUUUUCUGGAGGUGCAUGUCUCCCGUGACCCCCUCUUUGGAUUGCCCGCAGAGCCCGUGAAGAUGGUGUUAUCACUCCUGUGAUUACUUUACUGAUCAGGUGACUUUGAGUCAAUCAAAAGGUAGAUUAUCCAGGUGUGCCUGAUUUGAUCAGGUGGUCCCUUAAGGAGGCUUAAAAUGACCCUUUCUGAAGUAGAGUAAUUGGAAAAGUAAGAGGGUCUAUGGGUGGGGUCACCUGGCAAGGAACUGAACUCAGCCUCCAUGAGCUCUGGCCACCAGCUGACCUUUAGCAAGAAAGCAAAUCUUUCUUUGGUCAGUCUCCACAACAGGACGAAGCUGGCUGAGCCCUUGCCUUUGGCCCUGUGAGAUGCUGACCCGAGUAUCCAGCGAACACGUGCCAGAGUCCUGACCCAUGGAAACUGAGAUGAUGAGUCUGUGUUGCUUUAAGCCACUGUGUCUACAGUAAUUGGUUAGACAGCAAUAGAAAACUAAUAAACCUCCCUCUUUUUCAUUUACCAUCUUUCUUUCCUUCUGUCCACAAAUAUUUAUUGAUCAUUUAUUCAUCUAUUAGAACAUGUGCUAGGAACAGUAGCUACAACGGCCAGCAAAGCCAGAUAAGUUCUCUGCCCUCACGUAGUUUAUAAUAUCAUGAGGGAGACAGACAUAAAUCAAAUAACAUGGAUACAUGAAAAGCUGCAACUUAGAUGACUGAGGAGACCCCCAUAGCACCAUGACAGCUUGGUCUAGCCAGAGAGCAUAGGAAACAUGUUCCUCGUUGCAUUAGCAAUUAAGCAAGAGCUGACAGAUGAGCAGUAAUUGCCAAGGCCAAAUUGAAGGGAAGGACAAUGCAGGCAGAGGGAACAGCAUGAACAAAAUCUCUGUGGAGGCAAAAUCAUACAAGUGCAAGGGACAAAAAGAAGGUCCUCUGACUGCAGCUUGGCCACUGGGACAGGAGAUGAGGCUGGGCUGGUGCAUACAAAGCCUAAAAGCCAUAUGAAGUGCGUUUCCUUUGUAGGAAGAACAAUGAUGUCUUAGUCAGUUUGGGCUGCUAUAAUGAAUUACCAUAGAUUGGGUGGCUUGAAUGACAGACAUUGAUUUCUCACAGCUUUGGAGGCUGGGAAGGCUAAGAUCAAAGUCCUGACAGAUUCAAUGUGUGGUGGGUCUGCUUCCUGGUUUGAAGAUGGCCUUCUUUUCCUUGUAUCCUCACAUGGUAGAGGCAGUAAAGAGAAAGGAAGCAAGCUCUCUCCUGUCUCUCCUUAUGGGGGCACACAUCCACCACGAGGUCCCCAACCUCAGAACCCAUCGCCUCUCAAUGCCCCCACCUUCUAAUACCAUCCCAUUAGAGCUUAGGGUUUUGACAUAUGAAUUUGUGGAGGACACACACACAUGCCAUCCAUAACAAAUAGAAAGCCAAUUACAGGAGAAUGUCAAGCAAAAGGAAUGCAGAAAGGCAGGAAAUGGGCAGAACAGUGUAAAGUAAGUAGUAUAGACCCCAGGAGAACAGUGAGCCUCUACCUGAGUGAUGGCACAGGGAAG
rnacentral:lncRNA from 1 species